rnacentral:rRNA from 1 species
AUUGAACGCUGGCGGCAGGCUUAACACAUGCAAGUCGAGCGGAGAGAGGUAGCUUGCUACUGAUCUUAGCGGCGGACGGGUGAGUAAUGCUUAGGAAUCUGCCUAUUAGUGGGGGACAACAUUUUGAAAGGAAUGCUAAUACCGCAUACGUCCUACGGGAGAAAGCAGGGGAUCUUCGGACCUUGCGCUAAUAGAUGAGCCUAAGUCGGAUUAGCUAGUUGGUGGGGUAAAGGCCUACCAAGGCGACGAUCUGUAGCGGGUCUGAGAGGAUGAUGCGCCACACUGGGACUGAGACACGGCCCAGACUCCUACGGUAGGCAGCAGUGGGGAAUAUUGGACAAUGGGCGGAAGCCUGAUCCAGCCAUGCCGCGUGUGUGAAGAAGGCCUUUUGGUUGUAAAGCACUUUAAGCGAGGAGGAGGCUCUUAAGGUUAAUACCCUUGAUGAGUGGACGUUACUCGCAGAAUAAGCACCGGCUAACUCUGUGCCAGCAGCCGCCGUAAGAC